rnacentral:lncRNA from 1 species
CACGCCCAGCCUGCUGCGGUCAAUUUCAGGGUGGCGCGGGGGUGGCCGUGUGGUGUGGUGGCGCGCAGGCCACAUGGGAUGGAAUGAUGAGGAGCACAUUUUGAUUUAUCUGAAAUUGUCUGAGGUGCCAAGUCCAUUCUUCUAGCCCUGUGUAAUUUAUCUGCAUUCAUGCACAUUGCAGAGCUCACUGUAUUAGAACUCUGAGCACUGUGGUAGUUUAAUUUAACCAAGUGCUCCCAUAAUGAGAAGCCAUUCCUAGAACCCUCAGAAUGUUGCUGGCUCAUACCUUGAGGCCAAUAUCUCCGGCUCCGGAUCCACUCAAUUUCUCUCAGAAGGCUGCAAAAGAUCAAAAGUUGUCAAGAGGUCAUAUAUAUAGCAUGAAUAACCAGAAGCAUAUUUCUGUUUGGAACAUGAAACAGAAACUCACUGCAGGAUUCCAUGGAUUCCAUGGAUUGAUGAAUGAGAAGAUCCCAGGUGGAUCACCCUUAAAUCAACUGAUCUGUAUAAAUAGCCUACUGCCUCAAUCAUGACGUGAUGACAAGAGUCACUUGCCAAUAAAUGACCUGCUAGAUAUUUGAAAAUAAGAUUAUUAGACUUUUUAUUAUUCCUGGCUUCACACAUUUAAAAGAGAAGGAUAAGAAACAUUUAUAAAAGGUGGCAUUGAAACAUGACUUAUUUGUAAUAUUCUGCCAAAAAUAUUUAACCUGAGUCUCAUCAUAAAGAAACAAUCAGGCUGGGCACAGUGGCUCAUGCCUGUAAUCCCAGCACUUUGGAAGGCUGAGACAUGUAGACUACUUGAGCCUAGGAGUUCAAGACCAACCUGGGCAACAUGGCAAAACUCCAUCUCUACAAAAAAUACAAAAAUUAGCUGGGCAUGGUGGCAUGUGACUAUAGUCCUAGCUACUUGAGAGACUGAGGUGGGAGGAUCGCUUGAGACCAGGAGGCCGAAGUUGCAGUGAGCCAAGAUUGCACUGCUGCAUUCCAGCCUGGACAACAGAGUGAGACCCUGUCUCAAAAAAAUAGAAAGAAAGAAUCAGACAGAUACAAAUUGAAGGACAUUGCGAUAGGGAUGGGAGGAUGGAACCUGACUUCAACUCUUCAAAAUAGUCAAUGUCAUAAUGACAAAACAAAGGUACUUAAAUCUAGACUAAAAGAGACAAAUGCAAUGCAAGAUCCUCAAUAAGUUAACAGGUAUAGAGGACAUUACUAGAUACUUGGGGAAAUUUGAAUAUGGACUAUAGUUAGAUAAUAGUCUUAGGUAAUAGUUAAAUUUCCUGGGUUUGAUUAUUGUGGUUAUAUGGGGGAAUGUCCUUGUACUCAGAAGACAUAUGCUGAAGUACAGUAUUUAGAGAUAAAAGUGUCAUGUUUGCAACUAACUUUCAAAUAGUUCAGAAAAAAAAAUAUGUAUAUAUGUGUCUGUGCCUGUAUAUGAAAGAGAGAACACAAAUGUGGCAAAAUAUUAACAAUUGGUGGGCCAGGUAUGGUGGGUGGCUCAUGCCUGUAAUCCCAGCCCUCUGGGAGGCUGAGGAGGUAGGAUUCCUUGAGCCCAGCAGUUUGAGACCAGCCUGGGAAACAUAGGGAGACGCUGUCUCUAUAAAAAAUAAUAAUUACAAUUUAAAAAAAAUUGAUGAAGAUAGGUGAAGGUUAUAUGACCUUUCACUACACUAUUCUUGAAAUUUCUCUGAAGGUUUGAAAUUUAUCAAAAUAAAAAAAUUGAGAAAAAAUUUUCAAACUGCCACAGUCAAUAAUUGAAUUCUCAGCCUGGCACAGUGGCUCAUGCCUGUAAUCCCAGCACUUUGGGAGGCCAAGGCGGGCAGAUCACUUGAGGUCAGGAAUUCAAGACCAGCCUGGCCAACAUGGCGAAACCCUGUCUCUACCAAAAACACAAAAAUUAGCUGGGCGUGGUGGCACGCACCUGUAAUCCCAGCUACUUGGGAGGCUGAGGCAGGAGAAUCACUUGAAUCCGGGAGCUGAAGGUUGCAGUGAGCCGAGAUCGUGCCACUGCACUCCAGCCUGGGUGACAGAGCCAGACUCCAUCUUAAAAAAUAAUAAUAAUAAUAAAAUUGAAUUCUCUAAAAUUUGUUAAAAUAAAAACAAUCCAUUUUACAAUCUAACUUGCAGAUGGUACUUAUUUAUUCAUUUUACCCAUUUACAAGACUGCUUUUAAGGGGCUGAACUUAUACCAUUGAUUAUAAACAUAACGUAAGGCUGCUGUGUGUAAGGCACUGCUUAGAAAUGUGAUAAAGAGACUGCUGCCUGUGUAAAGGCUAAAAACACUGACAGAUGACCCAGUCAGUGUUCCUGUGUUAACAACAAUAACAGCAAAUAUAUAUAAAUACCAUCUGUCAGGACUGUGUAAUCUUAUAAGGUAUAAAUUAUCAUCACCUGUCCACCUGGUUCAAAAAUGAAAAUGUAUCAAACUGUAAAGUGAAAAGUGUCUUUCCCUUCUCUGUCUCCAUCUGUGCAGUCUUCUAAAAUGGAAUCACUGACGUUAGUUUCUAAUGUGUCCUUCCAGAGAAUUUUUAGUGCCUGUUUCAUUUUACUUGUCUUUUAAAGAUGAGCAUGCUGGAUGAGCUUAAGGAACUUGUUCUAGUUCAUGGAAGAACAGUCCUGGGUCAGCCUCAUCCCCAAGUCCGUGCCCUGCACUGCUACACUAGGCUGCCUCUUCCCCAUUCUGGACUGUGCUUCUGAAUAUCAGCCGUGGCUUCUGCUCGCAGAGAUGUUCUCUCUCUGUGGCUCUGCUUCGUGGAUCAGACUCUGUAUCUCACAUUGCCUGAAGCUUUCUCUGGAAAUCCUAUAGGAAAUUUCAGCUGCUGUCUCUGCUUAGCGAUCUGUGACUAUGUUUCUUCUUUUUGAACUAUUUUCAUGACUCCCUGUGAUGUUCCCAGGUGCCUCAGUCUAGCUCAGCAGAAGACACUUGUGAAUUACCCUGUUCUUGACGACCAAGUUGCAUUGGCCUUAAAAGGAAAAGUGGAGAAAAAUAGAAACUGGAUGUGUCAUGUGGUGGCAAACACAGAACCCAUCCUCAGAGAUUCUCUGGGCACCAAUAACCAGAUUCACAGGUGUGACUGACUCUCUUCAUUCUGCCCAAGUCCCCUGAAGAGAAUCUGACUUGCUAUGGGAUUGAGAUUUUCAUGCGGACAAGUUUCUGGUGCCCUUUGCAUACACUACUUCAUGCCUUUGCUACCCGCCUCUCUCUUGGCCACACACAACUCCUCAUGCCCCUUUUCCCUGGUGACCCAUUCUAGACCUGACCUAUAGCUUUGACCUCAGAACUUUCUUGGAUGCAAUCUGACUCAGGCGGCAAGCAAGCCAGGGAAAGGACAUUCUUGCCUCAUCCCCACCCCCAGUUUAUUCCAUUUUUCUUGGAGCUGGUACCAGUUGGGUCAACCCAGUCAGUUCUCCCAACCCAGGAAAAAGGAAAGACCAGAAUGGGUGAAUUUAAAUUGGAGAGAUGUCACUGAACCUCUUCCCACCUCAAACCUUUGCCCUGGAUGGGGAGGGAACCUAACAUUUAAUUUUGUACUCUAUUGGCUGUUCUGUGUAUAUUAUAUCAUUAAAUCUUCACAAUUACCCUAUAGGUAGACUAUAUUAUAACCACUUGAUUGGUAAGAAAAUUGAGACUCAGAGAGUCUCAAUUGUCCACAAGCCAAGAAGAUAGCAGAACUGGGAUUCCAACUCAGGUCCCUAGGAUCCAGGACCAUAACUUCUAGAAGUGAGAAAAGAGAACACUAUUCUUCCUGUUUUGUUGGUUCCAGGGAAGAUUUUCCAUAAAAAUACAUCUAGAAAGAAAGCAUCAGUUACCUUUUCUAUGUUGUACUUCUGGACAGAGCCACACCCAUCUUAUUUCCAGUGGAAUGUGAAUUGGGGGUGGGGAUGGGGGGAAGGUCCGAGGAACACUCUUACGAAUCUGUUCUCAGAUUUUAAGUAGUAAGUUUUCCUAGUCUCCCCACUUUAUUUUCAGUGCUUAACAUUAAAAAGAUGGUGGAAUAUUUAUUAUUUCCUUAGAAAAACAAAACAAGAUAUUUCAUCCAAAGAUAGUCCUCUAUCCUAUUAAGUACUCUUCUAAAGCACAAUUUUUCCUAAUUUUUAUUCUACUGAAAUUAAAAUUAAGUCCUGUUCCUCUUGCUUCACAUAAUAUUUGCUGUCACCUAACAGGUGGAUUUUUGCAAUGCCAGUCCAGCGUGAGAGAUGUUUACUUUUUUCCCAGGCCAACAGCAACAAUCCAGGCAGUUGUCUCCAGGUGACAGUGAAAUCUCUCCAGUGUUGACAGAGGUCUCAGGAAGUUUCCCUGAAUGAAUAACUCAGUGGAUGAACCACCCCUGGGAGGGAUAGUUCGUUACUGGGCAGCAUCCACUGAGUUAUUCUGUGCUGGGAGCGAAUGGGAUUAAGAAGUGAGGACAAUCACAGCCCAUAGUCUCUGUCUAGAUUCUAGAAGAUGGGCUGCAAUUGUAAAGAGGAAGGAAGGCCUGGCACUAUCUAAAGGCUCUUUGUUGAACGUUUCUUUUUGUUUGAUAAUUAGGCUGUGUCUAAAGUUUCCUUGUCCAAAAUCCUUAAGUUUGAGAAACUAAGUGUUUGCUCAUUCUUUUUUUUUUAAACUAUGAACUUAACCUAGAAGUGUUUGCUUAUUCUUUCCAUAAAUGUGUGUAUCUAUAAACAGGUUAGGGAAAAAGCUGUGUAUCAUUGUCCCAAAUAAAGUAAAAGGUUGCAA